UGAGGAAUAUUGGUCAAUGGUCGCAAGACUGAACCAGCCAUGCCGCGUGCAGGAAGACGGUCCUAUGGAUUGUAAACUACUUUUAUACAGGAAGAAACCCUCCCACGUGUGGGAGCUUGACGGUACUGUAGGAAUAAGGAUCGGCUAACUCGUGC
rnacentral:rRNA from 1 species